rnacentral:rRNA from 1 species
GGCGUAAAGGGUGGUUAAGACAAAACCGUUCUAGAGGAAAACACCUUUCAAACUGUUAUACGCACCCAAAGGUAAGAAAAACUUGCACGAAAGUCCCUCUAAUAAAUCCGAAUCCACGACAGCUCUGGUACAAACUGGGAUUAGAUACCCCACUAUGCUCAGCCGUAAACUUAGAUGAUCAAUUAUAAUGUUCAUCCGCCAGGGUACUACGAGCGAAAGCUUAAAACCCAAAGGACUUGGCGGUGCUUCAGACCCCCCUAGAGGAGCCUGUUCUAGAACCGAUAUUCCUCGUUAAACCUCACCGCCCCUUGUUAGUCCCGCCUAUAUACCGCCGUCGUCAGCUUACCCUUUGAAGGCGAUUAAAGUAAGCAAGACAGUUAAAAACAAACACGUCAGGUCGAGGUGUAGCGGAGGGGGCGGGAAGAAAUGGGAUACAUUCUAUCAUCCAGAGAAAAACGGAAGGGACGCUGAAAANCAUCCCCCGAAGGCGGAUUUAGCAGUAAGUCAGGAAUAGAGCGUCUGACUGAAA